rnacentral:rRNA from 1 species
CAGCAGCCGCGGUAAUACGUAGGGCGCAAGCGUUGUCCGGAAUUAUUGGGCGUAAAGAGCUCGUAGGCGGUUUGUCGCGUCUGUCGUGAAAGCCCACGGCUUAACCGUGGGUCUGCGGUGGAUACGGGCAGACUAGAGGCAGGUAGGGGAGAAUGGAAUUCCCGGUGUAGCGGUGAAAUGCGCAGAUAUCGGGAGGAACACCGGUGGCGAAGGCGGUUCUCUGGGCCUGUUCUGACGCUGAGGAGCGAAAGCGUGGGGAGCGAACAGGAUUAGAUACCCUGGUAGUCCACGCCGUAAACGUUGGGCGCUAGGUGUGGGGUUCUUCCACGGAUUCCGCGCCGUAGCUAACGCAUUAAGUAUCCCGCCUGGGGAGUACGGCCGCAAGGCUAAAACUCAAAG